rnacentral:rRNA from 1 species
CCCUUAGAUGUUCUGGGCCGCACACGCGCUACACUGAAGGAGGCAGCGUGUACUCCUGGAUCGAAAGAUUUGGGUAACCCGCGAAUCUCCUUCGUGCUAGGGAUUGAGGUUUGCAAUUAUCCUUCAUGAACGAGGAAUUCCCAGUAAGUGCAAGUCAUAAGCUUGCGCUGACUACGUCCCUGCCCUUUGUACACACCGCCCGUCGCUCCUACCGAUUGAAUGGUCCGGUGAAAAUUUCGGAUACCGGCGUUGCUGGCGGUUCGCCGCCGGCGACGCUGGUAGAAGAUCUUUAAACCUUAUCAUUUAGAGGAAGGAGAAGUCGUANCA